ACGAGAAUCCACCAAUGUCUCUCUCUUUCUCUCUCAAAAAAUCAUAAGUAAAAUAAAUAAAGAGGCGUGGAAAUGGGAGCCAACUGUAGAGGCACAAGGACUCGAACCGAGGGAUCGAGCCAUGUGCCCUGACCAGAAACUGAACCUCCCUCUCCUGCUCAACCGCUGAGCCUUGCCAGCCAGGCAGAUAAUGAAUUCUUAACAGGACAAGUCACGCCAACAGCCUACGAGAACCUGGGCUCCUCAGUCCUCAAGGAGCAGAAUCCUACCAACAGCCUUGCAAGUAAGCUUGGAGAUGGACCUUCUGAAGCCUGCAGACAGCCAUAGCUGUGAGCUUGGAAGUGGAUUCCCCCAGUCAAGCCUUCGAAUGCCUGCAGC